rnacentral:tRNA from 1 species
GCCCGAGUGGUGGAAUCGGAAGACACGGCAGACUCAAAAUUUGCUGCUGAAAAUGCGUGCCGGUUCAAGUCCGGCCUUGGGUACCA